rnacentral:lncRNA from 1 species
UAAGGAAUGAAGCUUGUGAGUGAGAAUCGCAGAUUUAGGGAUUUGGAACGGUGAAAUUCGAACCGAGGAAUGAAAAGCUGCGAAUUUCUUUUGUUAUUUUGAUUGAAAAAAUUGGAAAUAAGAUUGCGCCNNNNNNAACGCCGUAGUAACUGUCAGUAUUGACAAGAGCGGCGGCAGUUCACUUACUAGUGCCUCAAAUUGACUGUCGCCGUUUUCUAUUUUUCUUGUAGUG